AUGUUGAUGUGUUUGAAGUGGACA
rnacentral:piRNA from 1 species